UACAGAGGUCUCAAGCGUUGUCCGGAAUUAUUGGGCGUAAAGAGCUCGUAGGCGGUUUGUCACGUCGGAUGUGAAAGCCCGGGGCUUAACCCCGGGUCUGCAUUCGAUACGGGCAGACUAGAGUGUGGUAGGGGAGAUCGGAAUUCCUGGUGUAGCGGUGAAAUGCGCAGAUAUCAGGAGGAACACCGGUGGCGAAGGCGGAUCUCUGGGCCAUUACUGACGCUGAGGAGCGAAAGCGUGGGGAGCGAACAGG
rnacentral:rRNA from 1 species